rnacentral:misc_RNA from 1 species
UCCGGCUUGACGCCGGCAGUCCCCCGAGAGUCCUCAGCAUGACCUGUUAGUAACACGGGGCAAGGGUUGCGCUCGUUGCGGGACUUAACCCAACAUCUCACGACACGAGCUGACGACAGCCAUGCAGCACCUGUGUAGCUGUUCCGAAGAAGGGCCCCAGUUUCUUGAGGCUUUCAGCUACAUGUCAAACCUAGGUAAGGUGGGGAUGACGUUCGUCUGAC